ensembl:lncRNA
GUAGUACUGUGGUGUGUUAAACCUGUAGUACUGUGGUGUGUUAAACCUGUAGUACUGUGGUGUGUUAGGUAGUACUGUGGUGUGUUAGGUAGUACUGUGGUGUGUUAGGUAGUAGUACUGUGGUGUGUUAGGUAGUACUGUGGUGUGUUAGGUAGUACUGUGGUGUGUUAAACCUGUAGUACUGUGGUGUGUUAGGUAGUACUGUGGUGUGUUAAACCUGUAGUACUGUGGUGUGUUAAACCUGUAGUACUGUGGUGUGUUAAACCUGUAGUACUGUGGUGUGUUAGGUAGUACUGUGGUGUGUUAGGUGGUGUGUUAGGUAGUACUGUGGUGUGUUAGGUAGUACUGUGGUGUGUUAGGUAGUACUGUGGUGUGUUAAACCUGUAGUACUGUGGUGUGUUAAACCUGUAGUACUGUGGUGUGUUAGGUAGUUCUGUGGUGUGUUAGGUAGUUCUGUGGUGUGUUAGGUAGUACUGUGGUGUGUUAGGUAGUACUGUGGUGUGUUAAACCUGUAGUACUGUGGUGUGUUAAACCUGUAGUACUGUGGUGUGUUAGGUAGUACUGUGGUGUGUUAGGUAGUACUGUGGUGUGUUAGGUUGUGGUGUGUUAGGUAGUACUGUGGUGUGUUAAACCUGUAGUACUGUGGUGUGUUAGGUAGUUCUGUGGUGUGUUAGGUAGUACUGUGGUGUGUUAGG